AGCAACCUGCCCCUGACUCUGGAAUAAGCGCUGGAAACGGCGUCUAAUACUGGAUACGAGAAGGGUCCGCAUGGGCACUUUCUGGAAAGUUUUUCGGUUGGGGAUGGGCUCGCGGCCUAUCAGCUUGUUGGUGAGGUAAUGGCUCACCAAGGCGACGACGGGUAGCCGGCCUGAGAGGGCGACCGGCCACACUGGGACUGAGACACGGCCCAGACUCCUACGGGAGGCAGCAGUGGGGAAUAUUGCACAAUGGGCGAAAGCCUGAUGCAGCGACGCCGCGUGAGGGAUGACGGCCUUCGGGUUGUAAACCUCUUUCAGCAGGGAAGAAGCGAAAGUGACGGUACCUGCAGAAGAAGCACCGGCUAACUACGUGCCAGCAGCCGCGGUAAUACGUAGGGUGCGAGCGUUGUCCGGAAUUAUUGGGCGUAAAGAGCUUGUAGGCGGUUUGUCGCGUCUGCUGUGAAAAUCCGGGGCUCAACCCCGGACUUGCAGUGGGUACGGGCAGACUAGAGUGUGGUAGGGGAGACUGGAAUUCCUGGUGUAGCGGUGAAAUGCGCAGAUAUCAGGAGGAACACCGAUGGCGAAGGCAGGUCUCUGGGCCACUACUGACGCUGAGAAGCGAAAGCAUGGGGAGCGAACAGGAUUAGAUACCCUGGUAGUCCAUGCCGUAAACGUUGGGCGCUAGGUGUGGGACUCAUUCCGCGAGUUCCGUGCCGCAGC
rnacentral:rRNA from 1 species